UAAAAAUUAGUUAAUUUAUAACAUAGGUUUGUCAGACCUAAAUUAUCAGACCCUGAUAUUUUUAU
rnacentral:tRNA from 1 species